UCCAGACUGUAUCACAACCGGUCGUGAUUGGGAGUUCCAGCACAAUUGGCCUAACUUCGUCCGGGUUAGGGUUUGACCGGGCACGCGGUGUAAAGGCACGGGGACGAAGACCAGCAGCGCUACAACAUCGGCAUCGAGGAUGAUCACAGGAACGCAGUGCUGGUCGAUCAGGACCUGAUGCAGCUGCCGAAGUUGUCAGUUGCGUCGUGGUCGGACAGGCCAGUUGCGCUGCCGUAGAUGCGGUGGCUUCGGACGGACCAGUAGCAGUGGCGACGGACGGGCCAGUUGUGGCUGCUGAAGUGGCGUCGUCGGACGGACCCAUUGUGGCGACGUCGUAUGGCCCAGUUGCAGCUGCCGAAGUUGUAGCGGUGCCAGAUGGACCAGUCGCAGCGUCAUCGGACAGGCCAUUCCCGCUGUCUCCCAUAAUGGCCGAUUAUUCUGCCACGUCGGCAUAAAUGAUUCGAGAGACAGGUGCAGAAAUGCGUAAUAGUUUUUUUAUUGUACCCAAAUUACAGCGCACGGGACGAAGACACGUAACAUAACACAGGGUAGAAACCCAAAACAAAAGAGCGAGGAGUACCUCGAAUAAAUAACACACGCGCACACACGGGACGAGACAGAGUUCCCAGUUGUCUUGAAAGCACCAUAAAUCCAGAGAAUGACAGACUUUGAUGACAACAUUUGCUCACAAGAAGGAACACCACGCCACCUUCCUGUUCAAGUGAGCACAGCACAACAAGGGUUCAGUGGCUUGAUGAGUGAAACGGCAGGGGGCUCUAGGAAGGUCAGAGGGUCAGUUCAGCUCCUUUGGCUGCAGUGACAUCUACUGGACUGGACUGCCAACAGAGAGGUGCCAACACUUUAGUAGACCAAUGAAAGCGUGCAGAAAAUCUACGUGAACUGCCAGCCCUUCUGGCGCUACCCCAACAACAUUAUCAUAUUUAACAUGAACAUAUUUCACAAAUACUGAAUUUCUCGUUUAAGAAUUAUGCCACUUGAAUGCAGUCGUAACACCACGUCUGCA